rnacentral:rRNA from 1 species
AGGAUAAACGCUGGCGGCGUGCAUGAGACAUGCAAGUCGAACGGACACUCGGGGCUUGCUCCGAGUGUUAGUGGCGGACGGCUGAGUAACGCGUAGGUGACCUGCCCCGAAGUGGGGAAUAACUGCCCGAAGGGGUGGCCAAUACCGCAUGUGGUGGAACGUUCAUUCGUUCCAGUAAAGCCGCAAGGCGCUUCGGGAGGGGCCUGCGUCCGAUUAGCUCGUUGGUGGGGUAACGGCUCACCAAGGCGACGAUCGGUAGGUGGUCUGAGAGGACGAUCACCCAGACUGGGACUGAGACACGGCCCAGACUCCUACGGGAGGCAGCAGUCGGGAAUUUUGCGCAAUGGACGAAAGUCUGACGCAGCAACGCCGCGUGAGGGAUGACGGCCUUCGGGUUGUAAACCUCUUUUAUCAGGGAAGAUAAUGACGGUACCUGAUGAAUAAGUCACGGCUAACUACGUGCCAGCAGCCGC